rnacentral:lncRNA from 1 species
CUUGAAGGUCAUCAUGGGUGUUUUGUGUGGUUUGCCUUGCCAGAAAAAGUGCUUAGCAUUUUGGAGGACUUCCUCUAUCUGUGAAGGUACUACAGGGUCUUCAUAAUGCAACAAAACUGCAAUCAGGCAAGCUGGCCUAGAUUCACCCAUGCAUUAUCUAUGUUACCCACAAAGUCCUGUGGUUCCACAUUGAUGACUGGUGCAGCAUGGGACCUACAGGAGAGCUGUCACUCCAUGCUACCUACAAUAAAUUCAGUGAAUCUUGAACUUUUUCUCAGAAAAUACAGAGAGAUCCUGUUGACUUUUUCUUUUCAUGUAGUUUUUUCAUUUUGUUCAUCAUGUCUGCUCCCCGCUCAUCUUGUUGAAGGCAGCUCAGAGCUUAUGGUGGGAAGUACAGAGGAUGUCUGCAGGAUGGCUACAAGAAAUUGCAUAGAGAUUUUCCAUUAAAAGGAAGACGAUAAAAGCCUGUAGCAUGUCUCCUAAUAAAAUAUUACAUAGAGCUCUGUCCA